GCCAUGUUAGUAUAAUGGUCAUUAUCGGGCGCGUCGAAAUGGUCGGAAAUGACUACAAGACUCCUUCUGGAGUGCACCGGGUCUGGGUUCGAUUCCCAGUCAUGGUC